rnacentral:rRNA from 1 species
UACGUAGGGUGCGAGCGUUGUCCGGAAUUAUUGGGCGUAAAGAGCUCGUAGGCGGUGUGUCACGUCGGCCGUGAAAACCUGCAGCUUAACUGUGGGCGUGCGGUCGAUACGGGCAUCACUGGAGUUCGGCAGGGGAGACUGGAAUUCCUGGUGUAGCGGUGAAAUGCGCAGAUAUCAGGAGGAACACCGGUGGCGAAGGCGGCUCUCUGGAACGGUACUGACGCUGAGACGCGAAAGCGUGGGGAGCGAACAGG